rnacentral:rRNA from 1 species
AUUGAACGCUGGCGGCAUGCCUUACACAUGCAAGUCGAACGGUAACGGGCCUUCGGGUGCCGACGAGUGGCGAACGGGUGAGUAAUACAUCGGAACGUGCCCGAUCGUGGGGGAUAACGAGGCGAAAGCUUUGCUAAUACCGCAUACGAUCUACGGAUGAAAGCAGGGGACCGCAAGGCCUUGCGCGGACGGAGCGGCCGAUGGCAGAUUAGGUAGUUGGUGGGAUAAAAGCUUACCAAGCCGACGAUCUGUAGCUGGUCUGAGAGGAUGAUCAGCCACACUGGGACUGAGACACGGCCCAGACUCCUACGGGAGGCAGCAGUGGGGAAUUUUGGACAAUGGGCGCAAGCCUGAUCCAGCCAUGCCGCGUGCAGGAUGAAGGCCUUCGGGUUGUAAACUGCUUUUGUACGGAACGAAAAGCCUUCUUUUUAUACAGGAGGGUCAUGACGGUACCGUAAGAAUAAGCACCGGCUAACUACGUG